ensembl:lncRNA
ACCUGGAGGCUGCAACCCGCCCUGGGCUUUAAGACCUGGCUUCCGGGUGUGAUGUCAGGCUGAUCUGUCCAGCUGUGACAGGCUAAUCCCUCCACUCUGCUGAGAUAGGAGAAUAAUCCCCAAAGAGGUUUCAUACCGGAUGAGUAGCACCAACCCAGGACUGGGCUAGCCAUGUAUAGCUCACAUCUGGCUCCUCCCCCAAGGAAAAUGCUCUGGAUGAGGAUCCCUCCACCUUUAGUUAACUAAGCGAGGGGGAGUUUCAGGAGGAUCCUGACCCCCAGCUGGAUCCUCAGCAAGGGCUGCCUGGCUGGGAUAAGAGAGAUCACCUGCAGGGAGCGCCGGGAGCCUGCUAUUAGCUUCCCUCUCCUGCUUUCAUUGCUUUGCCUUCCUUUCCUCAGCAGAGCGGAACCCCAUAAGCAAUUAACCCUUCACAAGCUGAGUCACCGGACUUUGGAUAAUACAGGAUUAGACCAUUUAGCUGAAGCAGCUCAAGUCUGUAAAUAUGCAUGGGUUUCUGGAGCCUUUGGCAAUGCCUUAUAUGGAUUUCCUGAAUCAUCAGCAGAACACAGAGAGUCUGGCUCUCCCCACCACCCUGCUGCUGGUGUGUAGCUGUAUCAGAGACAUUGCCUGGGAAGACCACGUGGGACCAGCUGUGUCUGAAACUCUGCUGAUUCUCAGGAACAAGGCCCUGAGCUGCACGUCUAGUUUCUCAGCUUGUCCGUUGGGAUGGAGCACCCUGUAGCAGUUAGUCAACCUGUGCAGAAGUGGAUAGCCGAAGAACUGCUUUCAAGCUACACAGUAGGAUAAAGGCAUUUAUCACUAUGAACUUCCCUCUUAGAACUGAUUUUGCUGCGUCUCAUAAGUUUUGAGGUAACCUGAUUCUUCUGCUUGAGUGGCUUCACGAAGCAGCGAACACUUUUCCUGUCCAUUGUUGAACCCCUCAUGCCUAACCCAGUGCCUAGAACACAGGCUCGUCAUAGAUGUGUGGAAUGAAUGGAUGAAAGAAAACAACGAAGAGCCAGUUGUCGGUGGAGGAUCCCAAAGGAGCAGUUCCGCCUUCAUGUUGAAGACUUUCUUUGCCCUGCAUGUUGUAACCACAUAAAGCUAGCUGGGAGCCACGUGGCUGCCCUCAUUGUUGCUCCUUGGCAAUGUUCUCUCUGUGCCAGGCAUCAAACAUGAGCCCCUCAGUGGGAUCCCUGCCCUGUGUGCGCCCCAAUACCUGGACACUUCCUGGAUGCUCCAAGAGGAUGGAGAUUUGCCCCUCCCGACUUUCCCAUGAUUAAUGUUUGUCCGUAGCCUUGUCACAACCAACCUUGGGAGUGUUGCUGGGUUCUGGUGGGGGUCCCUCCUGAGAGAGGCCUUUCUAUUCUGUGAGGUGAAUUGAAGGCUGUCAAACCUUUCGCUCAAACUGGUCUCAUCUGCAUCAAGUCGUACAGAAAUUCCUUGAAAUGUCUGGUAUGUGGGUGGAAUCCUUUUUCAGUUUUGAAGAAUGACAGAUUUUCCCCUAUCAUUAUUUUCCUUUGGCUGUGUCAAUGGGAGUUUGGAAGAGAGACAGGAUGGGAAGUUCAAUGUGAGGAUUUGAAUGCCUGUCACAGAAUAGAAGUCU